CCAAAGUCCUAGGAUUACAAGUGUCGGCCAUGGGCUGGGCACAGUGGCUCACGCCUGUAAUCCCAGCAUUUUGG
ensembl:miRNA